CCUACGGGAGGCUGCAGUCGAGAAUCAUUCACAAUGGGGGAAACCCUGAUGGUGCGACGCCGCGUGGGGGAAUGAAGGUCUUCGGAUUGUAAACCCCUGUCAUGUGGGCGCAAAUUAAAAAGAUAGUACCACAAGAGGAAGAGACGGCUAACUCUGUGCCAGCAGCCGCGGUAAUACAGAGGUCUCAAGCGUUGUUCGGAAUCACUGGGCGUAAGGCGUGCGUAGGCUGUUUCGUAAGUCGUGUGUGAAAGGCGCGGGCUCAACCCGCGGACGGCACAUGAUACUGCGAGACUAGAGUAAUGGAGGGGGAACCGGAAUUCUCGGUGUAGCAGUGAAAUGCGUAGAUAGCGAGAGGAACACUCGUGGCGAAGGCGGGUUCCUGGACAUUAACUGACGCUGAGGCACGAAGGCCAGGGGAGCGAAAGGGAUUAGAUACCCCAGUAGUC
rnacentral:rRNA from 1 species